UACAUAUUGUGUGAGUUCUUUUGUGAUUGGGUUCAGGCUCCAGACAUCCAGGCACCUUCCCUGACAGAGGAGAGGUGUCUGCCCUGCCCGGGAGGGCUUUGCAGGAGCACCAUCUUGGAUCCCAGAUCCUUCCGACAAUAAAAAUAAUUUUUAAAGAAAAAAAACCUAUCAUGCUGUGUGCAUUCCCUCUGAAGUGAAUAUCAUUUGUCACUCUGACCCAGGAGUGGAUGACACUACCUUUUUACAAACUGCUUUAACGUGGUUUGCUCUUUUGCAUGGCUUAAAGCAUUGAUAGGUCCAGUGUACUCCCCAUAGGUCAUGUACAUUUCUGUCAUACAAAUUAGCAUUCCUCUAAGCAAGGAAUGCUGGUUAGUUUCUGUUAACUUGAUGUAAAUCUAAGCAUACCAAGGAAAAGUGUAUUUUAGAUGAGAAACUGCCUCUAUCAGAUUGACCUGUGGCAUGCUUGUAGGUCAUUUUCUUGAUCACUAAUUAAUGUUAGGAGGGUUUAGGCUGCUGUGACCAUUAUCACGCUUAGGUAAGUGUGCCUGGGACAUGGACAAACUGUAGCUGAGCAAUCCCGGACAUCAAGGCAAGAAGCAAUGUCCUGUCCCCUUGUUUUCUUUUUCAGCUGCUGCCUUGAGUUCCUGCCUUGGUUUCUCUCCAUGAUGGUCAGUAACCUGUAAGCCAGGUAAACUCUUUUCACUGGGCAUUUCCUUUUGAAAGGAGGAAUACUUCCUGUUUGUUAAGUCAGCUCCUGGCUAGUUUAUGGAUUAUGCUAGAAGUUAUAAGAAAUUGGCACCACCACUUCAGUUGGGGUAAUGCAGUGAAGACUUUUUUCUUUCUCAUUAUAAGGUCCAGACACCAUCCCUAGUUGUCAGGGAGUUAUUUAUGUGUGGUAAAACAGGGAUCUCUUUUUGUUCCUAAAGGAUCUGUAUGCCUUUUGUCUACUAAUUAUUAGUGAAAUCAGUAAAGAAAUGGAAAUAUAUGGAUGAUUCUGUAAACCUGUGACCAAAAGCCAAAUUUUGUAAAACUGUAGCCAAGUGACAAAUGUCCCAUGGUUUCAGCCUCAUGACCACUCCUACUGUCACAAGAGGCAAGUAAUACAUGAAGGACAAAAGGACAGGAACAUGACUGCUUCUACAUAUGGUGUAGGAAGAGGUUUAUUAAAGAUAAACGGAAGAUCAUAGCUGUAGUGGACAUGUGCCAUGAGAAUGGAGGAGGAUAAGAAGGGGAGGGGAGAACACAAAAAGGGGUGCAGCAGACAGGAGCCCAAAGGUACAAAGAUAGUGGGAAACAAAAUUAUGGAUUAUGUAGAGAAGAGCAGCCCAGCCCUCUGGGCUGGAUAACUCAAAAUAAGGGUCAAGGUGUGCCAGCCAGGAGGACCCUUGUAACAAGUAUGAACCAAGGGAUUCUAUGAGACAUUGGCGGCUGGGCUUUGAAAGGACCCUGAUAUAGCUGUCUCUUGUGAGGCAUAUGCCAGUGCCUGGCAAAUACAAAAGUGGAUGCUCAUUUUCAUCUAUUGAAUGGAACACAGUACCCUCAAUGGAGGAGCUAGAGAAAGUACCCAAGAGCUGAAGGGGUCUACAUCAAUUAUAGGUGGAACAACAAUAUGAACUAACUAGUACUCCCCAGAGCUCUUGUCUCUAGCUGCAUAUGUAGCAGAAGUUGGCCUAGUUGGGAAGAGAGGCCUCUUGCUCCUGGAAACUUUAUAUGCCCCAGUACAGGGGAACCCCAGGGCUAAGAAGUGGGAGUGGGUGAGUUGGGGAGCAGGGGAUGAGGUAUAGGGAACUUUUGGGAUAGCAUUUGAAAUGUAAAUGAAGAAAAUAUCUAAUAAAAAAUUG
rnacentral:lncRNA from 1 species